UGAAAACAGUGUGAAACAAUGGAAAACUACCUCUGCAUAAGUUUAAAAAAAAAAAAAAGAGCAAAGCAGUGGUACUCACAGAGAAGACUUUGAAGCUCCUCAUUUAUUAAAUGAGCUACCUGGAGGAAGUUAAAUUGAAUGAAAAAAGCCAGUCUCUGAAGGGCUACAGGAUUUCACCUAUAAACAAGAUUCUGAUACAUGGACAUGAUUAUGGAAUAUAAAUAAGAGGGGAGAGUGAGAGGGAAAGAAGGAAGCAGGAGGAAGGGGGAAAUAGAAUGAAAGAAGGAAAGAAUGAAAGAAAGAAAGUCAACUAGCAGAAACAACAUACUCUAAGCAAGGCCACUUAGACAUUACAUCUCAGAAAAUGCAAAAUACUUUGCACUUUACCUAAAAGAGUGGUAUGAGAAGGAGUUACAUGAUAGAUUCAACGUUGAAGAAUAGCCACUAGACUAAAACAGGUAGGUUACAACUUGUUUCUCAUUGUCAACAAAAGGAGGGGUUUCCCCUUCUUAGAUUAUUGUGUUGUAGAUGCUUAAGAUGUAUAUUUGCGAAUUGUUUUUAUAUCCUUUUAACAAAUUAUAUAUUUCAUAAUACUUAACAGUUCAACCAAGAACUGAAACUUAAGGAUAAACAAGCUUUUAUGUCCUAUAGCUCUUUUUUGUCAUCAUCAAUAAGAUUACCACGGGAUGCUGGCCUCAAAAACAAAUGUAAUUUUUAUGAAAGUGUAUUCAUGGUGUAUUCAUGAUGUUCAUCAGUAAGUAACCUAUUUUGUUCAGAGAUAUCUAAAGGUGUUUAAACUUUUUUCUUCUAUGAGCUAGUAAUUAUGGACUGAUCAUCAGUUAGGCAUUUUUGGAUAUUCUUAUUGAUCUCUUAUUUCUCAAGGACUUUUAUUUACCUCACAAAUUGACUUUGCCCCCUGUGUCUCACUGUUUAUCUUCUUCAUAUUUUAUGCAUCAAGUUCUAAACCCAACAUCAUAAUAGACAAAUGUUGUUAUGAGCCCUGAAGCACUGAAGAUCAAUUAUCAUGUUUUAAUUGUUAUUAUUGGACUAAUUUCAACUGUCCUCUGGGUACAAACAAAUUAAGAUUAAAAAAAAUAGGCUGCAUUCUUUCAAUAACAGAUGUUUUAAAGCUACCAG
rnacentral:lncRNA from 1 species